AUUAGAUUAAAAACCAAUGCCCUUCGGGGCUCUCUGGUGAUUCAUAAUAACUUCUCGAAUCGCACGGCCUUGCGCCGGCGAUGGUUCAUUCAAAUUUCUGCCCUAUCAACUUUCGACGGCUGGGUCUUGGCCAGCCAUGGUGACAACGGGUAACGGAGGGUUAGGGCUCGACCCCGGAGAAGGAGCCUGAGAAACGGCUACUACAUCCAAGGAAGGCAGCAGGCGCGCAAAUUACCCAAUCCCGACUCGGGGAGGUAGUGACAAUAAAUACUGAUACAGGGCUCUUUUGGGUCUUGUAAUUGGAAUGAGUACAAUUUAAAUCCCUUAACGAGGAACAAUUGGAGGGCAAGUCUGGUGCCAGCAGCCGCGGUAAUUCCAGCUCCAACAGCGUAUAUUAAAGUUGUUGAGGUUAAAAAGCUCGUAGUUGAACCUUGGGCCUAGCCGGCCGGUCCGCCUCACCGCGUGCACUGGCUCGGCUGGGCCUCUCCUUCUGGCAAACCGCAUGCCCUUCACUGGG
rnacentral:rRNA from 1 species